ACCAUAUAGUAAGGGAUAACAGUUGGAGACGACUGCUAAUACCAUAUACGCCCUUAGGGGGAAAGAUUUAUCGCUAUAUGAUGAGCCCGCGUAAGAUUAGCUAGUUGGUGAGGUAAUGGCUCACCAAGGCUACGAUCUUUAGCUGGUCUGAGAGGAUGAUCAGCCACACUGGAACUGAGACACGGUCCAGACUCCUACGGGAGGCAGCAGUGGGGAAUAUUGGACAAUGGGCGCAAGCCUGAUCCAGCCAUGCCGCGUGAAUGAUGAAGGCCUUAGGGUUGUAAAGUUCUUUCGCUAUCGAGGAUAAUGACUGUAGAUAGAUAAGAAGCCCCGGCUAACUUCGUGCCAGCAGCCGCGGUAAUACGAAGGGGGCUAGCGUUGUUCGGAAUCACUGGGCGUAAAGCGCGCGUAGGCGGCUAUUCAAGUCAGAGGUGAAAUCCCAGAGCUCAACUUUGGAACUGCCUUUGAAACUGUAUAGCUGGAGUGUUGGAGGGGAUAGCGGAAUUCCUAGUGUAGAGGUGAAAUUCGUAGAUACUAGGAGGAACACCGGUGGCGAAGGCGGCUAUCUGGACAACAACUGACGCUGAGGCGCGAAAGCGUGGGUAUCAAACAGGAUUAGAUACCCUGGUAGUCCACGCUGUAAACGAUGAGUGCUAGCUGUCGGGCCCUUAGGGUUCGGUGGCGCUGCUAACGCAUUAAGCACUCCGCCUGGGGAGUACGGUCGCAAGAUUAAAACUCAAAGGAAUUGACGGGGACCCGCACAAGCG
rnacentral:rRNA from 1 species